ACAACCUGCAAGUCCAUUUAACUCCCCGCUGCCCCUCUCUCCCACCCCCAGGUCUGUGGAGCCAGAAGGGGAGGAUUCACACGGAUGCCCCCAUUUGGGGGGGCCCGUCUCCCAAGGGCAGUGCCCGUCGCUGGGCAGGUGGAGACGGCUGGGGCGGGCAAAGUGCCCGGGGGCAGCAUGGUGCUGGUGUCCCAUCUCCCUUGGCACAGGCAGAACCAUCAGGAGGCUCCACUGGCUGGGGUGAGAGCGGGUCAG
rnacentral:lncRNA from 1 species